GGCACGGUUUCGCUUUCCAUUUCUACGUCCUCGAGUAGACCACUCAUAUACAUUCCCACUCAUAAUGUGGUGGAACCAUCCGACAAGUCAUGCUCAAUUACCGUCCUCUCUUGAAGAUAUACGGCUUCUAUUGGACCAACGGUCGGAAGCACAAUUUCAAUGGACACCAUACGAGGAUCCGGCAAUUCGGGCAAUAAUCCCAGAAGAGUUCUGAAAAAAUCCACAAGUUUGGCACGUGAAACUCGUGUUGAUCAACUACGCAACCGUGGAGCCGCACCAGACAGACAGAGUGCUACGACAGUUUGGAUGUAGACAACCGAUUCCCGUGGAUCCUGAGGUAUUUGAUGAUCAACACAAAGUCGACCUUCGACAAUUGAAUACGGAUUGGAUGAGAUACUAGUCCGAGUACAUGGAAAUGUGGGAAGAUCGAUAUAAAUAUAUACCUACUCGGGAACCAAUCAUCGUUUCGGAGUUAGCGUGGUUCCAGAAUACAUGCCAUGAUUUAGGAUCAAUGGCAAGCCGUAUUUACUGACGCCAGAGGAGAGGCAGCGGCAAAUACGUGUCGAAAGGGAAAGGCGCGGGCCUCUAAAUCCAAGACGACAAGACGACGAAGGUAGCCCCUCAACGAGGCCUAGACAUUCACCUGGCUCAUCAUCAGCGGCCAUUCAAUCACCAGGCCCAACGAGAGCACCGACACAGUCACCCGACGUAGCAGUUCAACCGAUAAUACCCACGCACCCGUAUUUUCAGAUGAUGCCAGGUGCGUUUCCUAGCCCUUAUAUGUAUCCUAACCCUUAUAUGUACCCUUUUUCGAGUCCUAUGGCAGGUUGGAGCCAAAUGCCCGGUUCAGCUCCAUUUCCUGUUAUGCCGAGUGGACCGCCGAUGUAUAGGCCAGCUGCGCACGAGGGAUCGCAAGAGGGGCUGUCGGGGAACUCUCCUUUUUACCAAUCCCCACCAACGUAUGAGUUUCAAACACUGUCGCCGUUCGUGAUGCAAACACCUCCACAUAUACUAUUCUUUGAAUGUGGAUCAUCGUCCCAAGUCCGACAACCAGAUGUCGUACCGGAAGAACCAGAAUCCCCGCCGGAGGAACAACAACCCCGCCGGAAGCUAGAGAAAUGAGGAAUCUAGCACGUAACCGUCGACGGCCGCCAUGUGGCACUGAAUCCCCCGGGCAUAGACAUUAAUUGCUGUAUUUAAAUUUAUUUGUACAAAUAUUUUUAAUAUU